GAGAAAGAAUGCAAGAACUGCUAACUCAUGCCACCAUAUAUAAAAAUAUGGCUUUCUCA
rnacentral:tRNA from 1 species